rnacentral:rRNA from 1 species
UACGUAGGGUGCAAGCGUUGUCCGGAAUUAUUGGGCGUAAAGAGCUCGUAGGCGGUGUGUCGCGUCGGUCGUGAAAACCUGCAGCUUAACUGUGGGCUUGCGGUCGAUACGGGCAUCACUGGAGUUCGGCAGGGGAGACUGGAAUUCCUGGUGUAGCGGUGAAAUGCGCAGAUAUCAGGAGGAACACCGGUGGCGAAGGCGGGUCUCUGGGCCGAUACUGACGCUGAGGAGCGAAAGCGUGGGGAGCGAACGGG